CGUGGCGGGCUCAAAUGGCGGCGGCGCUGGGCGCCUAGGCCGGCGGGGGCCAUGAGCGCCGCCCGGCCCCAGUUUAGCAUCGAUGAUGCCUUCGAGCUGACCCUGGAGGACGCGGGGCCUGAGCCCGAGUCCAGCGGGGUCGCCCGCUUCGGGCCGCUGCACUUCGAACGCCGGGCUCGGUUCGAGGUGGCUGAUGAAGACAAGCAGUCCCGGCUACGCUACCAGAACCUGGAAAAUGAUGAGGACGGAGCCCAGGCCUCUCCGGAGCCGGAUGGGGGAGUCAGCACCAGGGAUUCUGGGCACAUGUCUGUCCGCAGCUCGCAGUGGUCCUUCAGCACCAUCAGCAGCAGCACACAGCGCUCCUACAACGCCUGCUGCAGGUGUCUCCAGUGCCAUCUUCUUUGUGCCGGGCAUCCUGCUGUUAGUCCCAGGAGUCUACCAUGUGAUCUUCAUCUACUGCGCUGUCAAGGGCCGCCGGGGCUUCCAAUUCUUCUACCUGCCCUACUUUGAGAAGUGAGCUGCAACUGGCCAGUGGCUCACCAGUGAUCCAAGGCCUCAGGUCACCUCCACGUGUCCACAGGGUAUUCCUCCAACCUACACCUGGUUCUGUUCCUUUCACCUGGAAGGCAGAGGCCCCUGGGACCCUCACAACCACCAGGCCCCUUUGAAUUUGCUCAGGAAGUUUAGAGCAUGCCAGCCUGGGAAUAUUGCCUCUUACCUGAUGUGUGCCUUAACUUAUUCCUGGGUUCUGGACUCCUGGGUUGGUGUAAUUUUGUGCUAAUAAAAGGGUAAUUAUUUCC
ensembl:processed_transcript Tmem134 transmembrane protein 134